rnacentral:tRNA from 1 species
GGGGCUAUGGCUCAAUGGUAGAGCUUUCGACUCCAGAUCGAAGGGUUGCAGGUUCG